GCAGGUGGAGUUGAACUGCAAGCUUUGAGAAUUCAGCUGGUGAGGUUGGUUUGGGCUUGGUCAAAUUGGUUGGGCCCCGAAGUACGUUAAACCACGUGUCCUUUCCCUUUGGGUUGGGAUGUGCGAUACACUUACCAAGUGUUGCACGCUUUGGGUGUUCAUCGAGCCUCCUUGUCAGUGCACUUUCUCAGAGUGGUCACCACGACCGACGCCGCUGUCAGGCUGUCAUAGUUAAACCGGUCUUGUAGUGUCCUUGUGGCAUUGCCUGGUCGGGAUGGCAGGUAGCUUGUUGGCUCGCUUCGGCUUGCUUUCGAGUGUAAUCAGCUGACUGUGACGGUUCUGUGCAGUGCGUCGGAGACGGCGGCCAGUGGUGUGUGCAUGCGUGCCCGAUUUGUUGGCGUACCCUGGUUUGGUUUCUGUGUUGCCUGUGAUAGCAGGCCUAGUUAUGGCUGGGGUUCGUUCGGCGAAUGGUUGCGUGUGUGGCACUUCCAAGGGCCAAUAGUCUGUGGUGUAGUGGUA
rnacentral:rRNA from 1 species